rnacentral:rRNA from 1 species
UCGACACAGGUGGACUGGCAGAGUAUGCUAAGGCGCUUGAGAGAACUGUAUUGAAGGAACUAGGCAAAUUGCCCUCGUAACUUCGGAAGAAGAGGGCCCGAUUCUUACGCAAGUAGGAGUCGGGGGCACAUAGCAGGGGGUGGCGACUGUUUACUAAAAACACAGGACGCUGCGAAAUCCAAAGAUGACGUAUAGCGUCUGACGCCUGCCCGGUGCUGGAAGAUUAAGAGGAGAUGUGAAAGCGUUGAAUCGAAGCCCCAGUAAACGGCGGCCGUAACUAUAACGGUCCUAAGGUAGCGAAAUUCCUUGUCGGGUAAGUUCCGACCUGCACGAAAGGCGUAACGACUUCCCCACUGUCUCCAAUACAGGCUCAGCGAAAUUGGAUUCCCCGUGAAGAUGCGGGGUUCCCGCGGUCAGACGGAAAGACCCCGUGCACCUUUACUGCAACUUUACACUGGCAUUAGGAAUGGGAUGUGUAGAAUAGGUGGUAGGCAUUGAAGCCGAGGCGCUAGCCUUGGUGGAGCCGAAAUGUGAAAUACCACCCUUCUUGUUCCUGAUGUCUAACCGCGGUCCCGAAACGGGAUCCGAGACAGUGUAUGGUAGGCAGUUUGACUGGGGCGGUCGCCUCCCAAAGAGUAACGGAGGCGCGCGAUGGUAGGCUCAAUCCGGUCGGAAAUCGGAUGGUGAGUGCAAUGGCAAAAGCCUGCCUGACUGCAAGGUCGACGGACCAAGCAGAGACGAAAGUCGGUCAUAGUGAUCCGGUGAUCCCGCAUGGAAGGGUCAUCGCUCAACGGAUAAAAGGUACGCCGGGGAUAACAGGCUGAUCGCACCCAAGCGUCCAUAGCGACGGUGCGGUUUGGCACCUCGAUGUCGGCUCAUCACAUCCUGGAGCUGUAGCCGGUCCCAAGGGUAUGGCUGUUCGCCAUUUAAAGUGGUACGUGAGCUGGGUUUAGAACGUCGUGAGACAGUUCGGUCCCUAUCUGCCGUGGGUGUUCGAAACUUGAGAAGACUUUUUCCUAGUACGAGAGGACCGGAAAGAACGUAUCUCUGGUGGAUCGGUUGUCACGCCAGUGGCAUAGCCGAGUAGCUAAAUACGGACGAGAUAACCGCUGAAAGCAUCUAAGCGGGAAACUCACUUCAAAACUAGGUUUCGCUUGAGAGCCGGGGAAGACUACCCCGUCGAUAGGCCAGGUGUGUAAGCGCAGCAAUGCGUUGAGCUUACUGGUACUAAUUGCUU